AUUGAACGCUGGCGGCAGGCCUAACACAUGCAAGUCGAGCGGAUGACGGGAGCUUGCUACUGAUCUUAGCGGCGGACGGGUGAGUAAUGCUUAGGAAUCUGCCUAUUAGGGGGGGACAACAUUUCGAAAGGUAUGCUAAUACCGCAUACGUCCUACGGGAGAAAGCAGGGGAUCUUCGGACCUUGCGCUAAUAGAUGAGCCUAAGUCGGAUUAGAUAGUUGGUGGGGUAAAGGCCUACCAAGGCGACGAUCUGUAGCGGGUCUGAGAGGAUGAUCCGCCACACUGGGACUGAGACACGGCCCAGACUCCUACGGGAGGCAGCAGUGGGGAAUAUUGGACAAUGGGCGGAAGCCUGAUCCAGCCAUGCCGCGUGUGUGAAGAAGGCCUUAUGGUUGUAAAGCACUUUAAGCGAGGAGGAGGCUACUUUAGUUAAUACCUAGAGAUAGUGGACGUUACUCGCAGAAUAAGCACCGGCUAACUCUGUGCCAGCAGCCGCCGUAAUAC
rnacentral:rRNA from 1 species